rnacentral:rRNA from 1 species
GCGAGACACUUCUUCGGAAGUUAGUACAGCGGCGGACGGGUGAGUAACGCGUAGGAAUCUGCCUUUUAGUGAAGAAUACCCUUGAGAAAUUAAGGUUAAUGCUGCAUGUGCCCUACGGGGGAAAGAUGGCUUUAUGCUGUCGCUAAAAGAUGAGCCUGCGUACUAUUAGCUUGUUGGUGGGGUAAAGGCCUACCAAGGCGAUGAUGGUUAACCGGCCUGAGAGGGUGUACGGUCACAUUGGAACUGAGACACGGUCCAGACUCCUACGGGAGGCAGCAGUGAGGAAUAUUGCGCAAUGAGCGAAAGCUUGACGCAGCAACGCCGCGUGGGGGAUGAAGGUUUUAGGAUCGUAAACUCCUGUUAAGUGGGAAGAAAGGAUUGCUUUUAAUAGAAGUGAUUUAUGACGGUACCACUAGAGAAAGCACCGGCUAACUUCGUGCCAGCAGCCGCGGUAAUACGAGGGGUGCAAGCGUUAUUCGGAAUUACUGGGCGUAAAGAGUGUGUAGACGGUUUGCCAAGUCUGUUGUUAAAUCUUUCGGCUUAACCGAGAGUCCGCAAUGGAAACUGGUAGACUAGAGGGCGAUAGAGAGAAGUGGAAUUUCCGGAGUAGCGGUAAAAUGCGUAGAUCUCGGAAAGGAACACCCAUGGCGAAGGCAGCUUCUUGGG